rfam:Photobacterium aphoticum strain DSM 25995 contig0039, whole genome shotgun sequence.
CAUCCACAACACCUGUUUUUCUUUCGCUUCUUUUUUAUGUCACCGUAAUCGGGGGCUCAUCGUUACGCCAGAAUAAAGCGAAAGACGAACAGAGAGCCUCCCACCUUGCGGAGGCUUUUUUGU